GAUUAGAUUUUAUUUAUUAAUUUUUUUUAUUUUAAAAUUAAAUUAUUAAAAAUAAUUAUAAAAUGAAUUGUUUUAGUAUUUAAUUAAGAAAAAAUAAUGUUAAUUAUAGUGUAGUAGUAUUGUGAAAGAAAAUUGAAAUAAUUUGAAAAAUUUUUAUUAUAAAAGAAAAUUUAAUUUAUUGUACCUUGUGUAUCAGGGUUUAUUAAAUAAAAAUUAUUUAUUAUAAUUUUCUCGAUUUUAAAAGAGUUAAUAUAUUAUAAAAGUUAAUGUAGCAAAAUUAUUUUUAAUAAUAUAUUAGAAAUGAAAUGUUAUUCGUUUUUAAAGGUAUCUAGUUCUUUAAGAAAUAAAUUUAAUUUAGAAAUUUUAUAUUAUUUAAUUGAAUAUAUUAAUUAAAUAAUUAUUUAAUUUUAAUAUUUUAUGGGAUAAGCUGUAAAAUAAAUUUUUAAAAAUAAAUAAAUAAAUUUAUAAAUAUAAGCUUAGAAAUAGCUAUUAUUAAUAAAAGUGUUAUAAUUUAUUUUAUAAUAAUUAUUAUUUAUUAAAUUUUAAGUUUUUAUUAAAGUAUUUAUUUUAAUUAUAAAAAUAAAUAAAUAAUGGUAAAAUUAGUAUAUUAUAUUGUAURGAUAAGUUUUGAUGAAAAGUUUUUAUAAAGAACUCGGCAAAAUAAUGUUCGCCUGUUUAACAAAAACAUGUCUUUUUGAAAUUUUUUUAAAGUCUAGCCUGCCCACUGAAAUUUUUAAAUGGCCGCAGUAUACUAACUGUGCAAAGGUAGCAUAAUCAUUAGUCUUUUAAUUGAAGGCUGGUAUGAAUGGUUGGACGAGAUAUUAACUGUUUCAUAAAAAUUUGUGAUAGAAUUUUAUUUUUUAGUCAAAAAGCUAAAAUGUAUUUAAAAGACGAGAAGACCCUAUAAAUCUUUAUAUUUAAAUUAUUAUAAUUUUAUAGAUUUUUUUUGUUAUAAUAUUUGAUAAUAUUUUAUUGGGGUGAUAUUAAAAUUUAAUAAACUUUUAAUUUUUUAUAUCAUUAAUUUAUGAAUAAUUGAUCCGUUAUUAGCGAUUAAAAAAAUAAGUUACUUUAGGGAUAACAGCGUAAUUUUUUUGGAGAGUUCAUAUCGAUAAGAAAGAUUGCGACCUCGAUGUUGGAUUAAGAUAUAAUUUUAGGUGUAGCCGCUUAAAUUUUAAGUCUGUUCGACUUUUAAAUUCUUACAUGAUCUGAGUUCAAACCGGCGUAAGCCAGGUUGGUUUCUAUCUUUAAAAAAUUAAAAUAUUUCAGUACGAAAGGACCUAAUAUUUGAUAAAUUAUUAUUUUUAUAUUGAAUAUAAUUAAUAUAAAUACUAUUUUGGCAGAUUAGUGCAAUAAAUUUAGAAUUU
rnacentral:rRNA from 1 species